rnacentral:lncRNA from 1 species
AUGACCUUGGUUGUUUUUCCCCCUCUCAACCCCCCCCCCCAUUCCCAGUCAGGAUGCUCAGAAACUCGGGGCUCACUUGGAUACCUGGGACACACCGAAGCAGGCGGAGCCAGCCAGGGCAUCUCUGCUGACCCUGGCAUGUCAGUUUCCCGACAAGAGUCUUGUUCAGAAAGUUAUAAACCCCAGGCCUGAAGACUUAAGGAUUCCGACUCCACAAUAAAAACAGGAAAAACAUGUUUGGUCUUUGUAUG